rnacentral:rRNA from 1 species
CUCCAGGGGUAGCAGUGAAAUGCUAUAAUCCCUGGGGGACCGCCAGUGGCGAAAGCGCUCGGCGAGGCCAAACCCAACGGUGAGGGACGAAGGCCAGGGGAGCAAACCGAAUUAGAUACCCGGGUAGUCCUGGCUGUAAAGGAUGUGGGCUAGGUGCCUGUCGUUCCUCGAGAAUGUUAGGUGCCGAAGGGAAGCCGUUAAGCCCACCGCCUGGGAAGUACGGCCGCAAGGCUGAAACUUAAAGAAAUUGGCGGGGGAGCACCACAAGGGGUGGAGCCAGCGGUUUAAUUGGAUUCAACGCCGGACAUCUCACCGGGGGCGACGGCAGAUUGAAGGCCAGGUUGACGACCUUGCCAGACUCGCCGAGAGGUGGUGCAUGGCCGCCGUCAGCUCGUAUUGUGAAACGUCCUGUCAAGUCAGGUAACGAGCGAGACCCUCACUCCUAGUUGCCAGCGGAUCCGUUUGGAUGCCGGGAACCCUAGGAGGACUGCUGCCGAUAAGGCAGAGGAGGGAGAGGGCGACGGUAGGUCCGUAUGCCCCGAAUCCCCCGGGCAACACGCGGGCUACAAUGGUCGGGACAAAGGGCUGCGACCCCGAAAGGGGAAGCUAAUCCCAAAACCCGAUCAUAGUUCGGAUCGAGGACUGCAACCCGUUCUCGUGAAGCUGGAAUCCCUAGUAACGUGCGUGUCAUUAUCGCGCGG